UUGGUGUGGAUUCAUUGUCUGCUUGCUCAAAAGAACCAGAAAACCUAGUAAGUGGGUUCAGGUAUAUUAUUAAUAUUGAUAUAUUAUUAUUAAUUUAUAUUAAUAUUGAUAUAAUAUAUAUAGAAACUUAUAAUGGCACUACCACCUUCUGGUAUAACUCCAUUGGCAAAAAAUCUUAGCUCAGAUCGGUGUCACCUUAUUGAUUGUCUUAAUUUUUGUUUCAUUUCUUUUCUGCUGUAUAAUUCCCUAUAACAGGAAAUUAACUUCAUCUUUAAUUACUUCUUCUGAGGGCUUGCAACUUAAGCUUAUUCAUGCUGCUCGCGUAUAGUCACUUAUGUGACUAAAAGGGGGAUUGAAAGGGAUUGCAAGGGGCUAAUGUCUUUUCCUGCCUGAACACUUGAUUGCACAAGUAUGCUUCUUAUCAAAUACACACCAGCUGUAGACCGUGUAAACGUACUAUAGCCACUCAGGUGUUCAAACAUUACCAAAUAUAGGGUAAUCACAUUGUGUAUGACAUCACAAUGGAAUCUCUUUGUUUACUAUGCUAUAUAAGUUGUAGUACUACCCAUAAUAAACUGAACUUGUUUUGCAACACACAAGCCUACAGUGUCGUUCAUUGCAAGUUCCCUGAUCAGCACGCCUGGAGAGAUGAUAUCAGAUGGUUUACCGUUGCAUCAAGUAUAAGACGAGCCGGCUCGCAGCUGCAAGGACAGUGCAGGGAUAGCACAGUGGAGUUUAGUGGCCCUAACAAUGGGGUGAAGUGGCAACCUCUGCCAAUGUUCCUCUUACACAGUAUAGACAGGAGGAACCAGUUAUCAAACUACAUCUCCCAGACUUUACAAGAAACUGGGGAUACAGGAGACACAGGAAGAGGAGGAGUCUAAAAGAUUCAAUUAUGUUUGUCCUGCCUCCAGAGAGGAGAAGUUAACCCCAUACGUCCUGCACUGACAGUACGGGCCUACGCAAAAGAGAUUUAUCAGGCAAGAAAAUCUACUUAUAUAAAGUUUAUAUUUGUUCAUUUGCCAAUUGUGUGUUUUAUUAUUCCUAGUGGAACCCUCCUCUGAGGUGUUUUCCUCAAUGUUCACUAGGUGGAGGCACUACACUGUAAUUCCCAGUUCCCAAUACUUUUCAUAUGCAAAAGGGACUGAGGGCCCCUGGAUUGCCAAGGGUAAGUUGCUAUUUAAAGAGACAGUAACCAAAUUAGUGUUAUAGGUGUUUGACUGUGAAUGCCACUGAAGAGUUUGAGAAGUCCCUCAAAACUUUUUAGUGUGGCUUUAAGAAUUGUUCCCAUGAGUGCCCAAGAAGAAAAAGGUGCUGGGAUGAAUAUUGUGAGUACUCUAACACUAACUGAUGUGGGCAAUCAGAUUUGUGUAGGGACCAUUGUGGAACUGUUAGUAGGUCAUACAGAUUGUGUUUGUGGCAUGUGUCAAUGAGAUGCCAACCACAGACACAGCUUGCCCAUGCGCCACUGUUAGUGUGAUACAGCAACGAUCUGACAACUAUGCACACUAAUCGUUCUAAUCCUACUGGCCCCUUAUCUGCCAUAUGUUCAAAGUGUGAGCGCCCCCUGUAGAAACACAUUAUACAGAACAAUGAAGCUCCAAACUCCCAGGGUAUGAAGGUUUUUGGAUUUUCCAAACAUGCUUCUUAUUGUUGUAUUGCUAAUGAAACCCUUUUUUGCCAGGAAUAUCCAGGGCCACACUGUGGCGCUAACAGUAUAGAUUUGUGGGGUUUGGAUAAGUUAAGUCCCAGGGCUAAAACCAGAUAUUGGUGGGUAUACAACUCCCUGGGAACUGCAAUAGCAGUGAUUUUGGUACCAAUUAUAGCAAACAAUAAACCACACAAUAGGCAGUUAAGCAAUAAUUUGUAAUGUUAGAAAUGUAAUAUGCAUUUUAAUAUGCAAUGCAAUAAGAACAGCUAAAUAACAACAACUUUAGACAAUAUAAGUCUCACCCCUUGUAUGAAAAUGUCCACUGUCACUUUAAGAAUAGUGAGUGUGCACACUUAGGGGUCUGCAGGAUAUACCAAAGUAGUAUGAUCAGAGUUAUGUGCUGCAACACCAGAUUUAUGCAACCCGGGGUGUGUAAAGUGAAGGUCUCACCAACUGGUAGUGAAAGAGAAAUAACCCCCGUGAGGCAGAGCAGGAUAGCAGGAUAGCAGCCUGGCAGCUUUAAUCCACACUGAUCUUGGAAUGCUGGUGUAGAAGAAGCUUCCUAAAUUCCUUCGGAGAUCCACUACAUGUGUCACAGAGAUGGGAAAUCCACAGUCCAGAUCCAGUUAGGGUUGCCACCUUUUUUAAAAAAAUGUACUGGUCAGUGGUGGGGGAGGUAACUCAAUGGGCAGGCUGUGAUGUAAAAGGGGGCGGAGCCAUGGUGGUAGUGAUGCAAAAGGGGCAGGGACACAUCGCGAGAGGGGCAGAAAAUGAAGAAAAGAUAAGUUUCCACCGGAGGGCCAAGGGCUUUUGUUAAGGGUAUUACAAAUUACCGGUAUACAAAUGAGAUAGAGCCUGCCCGAAUGCAGGUGUACAAACCUAAAUUCAUGUUCCCUCCAGCCACCAUAGUUCAGUUCUAAUGCAUGCAAAUAACAUGAUGGGUUGGAUAUCACUGUAGAUUAUCAUUAUUAUUACAUAGCGCUCAACAUAUGAUAUCAGAUAUCAAACCCCUUAGUUCAGGGAACUGGAGAUGAGUGACGCAUAGGGGGAAGGGUGGCAUGAGUAGGCCAGCACACUGAGCGGUGAUAGGUCAAUGGAAGUGGCCAAGAGAAAAGGGGGUUGAUAGUAGGGGGAGGAUGUUUUAGGUGCCAAAAGGAGAGUCAGUCGGCAGCCAUUUUGGAAGAGUGUGAAGCAGGUCGGCAGGCACUAACCUGAUGGAGCCGAACAUUGAAGUACUUUUGGUGCAAUUGCGGUCGGAGGUGACGCAGUGAGGAGUAGGAUGGCUCAGGCAGAUGGUUCCAGAGACAUCACAGGGGACAGAUGGGCGGUACAGGAAGCAGCGGUAUAAUGACGGCAGGUGUAUGGAGGGCAUGGCGACCCAGGCCUCCUGUCAGGGAGUCACACCGCCACCAGAGGAAGCGGUAUGGUCACGUUCCUCUUCCCUAUGGAAUGCCAGCAGGGAAAGAGUACCACCGCGGCACAUACCGGAGAGUAGUGCUGCCUCAUUAAAGAUACAUUAGCAGUAGAGGGAGUGGAACGGGAGACACACCAGGGGGUCAAGCCAAUACGGAGAGGCACCACAGCAAAAUGGGAACAGACAGGCGACAGAGUCAGGACCAUGUCAGGCAUUUCACUUUUCCAGCCCCCAAGUGCCGCAGCAAUAGAAGGCAGUGAGUUGCCAGGUGCAAAUUCGAUUCCACUUGAUCCCUAGGGCCUUUGGAAAUUGGUUGCAGGCAUAUGCAAUCAUGGCCAGAGUGAUAGGUGAAAAGCAUCCAGAGCAAUGCACGGCAUUGUUAUUACUUAUAUUGCAUAUGGGAGGCCCACAGGGUAUAUGGUGGCCUAGCUUGGCUGCGAUAUGAUGAGCAUGGCGAUCAGGCAGGAUUUGCAGUGGGACCAUAGAGACAUUGGCCUCUGGAUGAGGCUCAUGAAUUACAAAAGGUAUCAGGGCUAUACAGCCGCGCCUUUCAGGGGGGCUCCGGGGGGGGCCAGCUCGGCCGGAGCCCACAAAUAAGGAGUUUGCUGGCUGUGACAGCCACUGCAAAUGAAGGAGCACUUGUCGAUUCAAACAUGAAUGAUCAUGUGCAGGAUCACACCCAUUGUCAAGAUGUUUAAAAAAAACAAGGCUGGUUCACCCCAAACAAGGGAUAACUAUACCAAAAAGGGAGACGCCAGUAAGAUUAAGUGAGAUGCAUCUCUGGCUAAAGGGAUAAAGAAAAGGCCAAAUUGCUGAUCAGUGGUUUGAAUGGAGGUCAUGCUAGAUAAUAGCUUGAAGAAUCUAAAAUCUGUGAAUGACAACCCGCAAUUGGUGAGGGAGAAAUUGUAAAAGGAAGUCAGUUUGGGGUGUAUGGCAGGUCCGUUCAAAGACCUGCCCUUACUCAAUAUCCUGCUGGGAUUGAUACCUAAAAAAGAACAAGGGAAAUUCUGAUUGAUUCAUCACUUAUCGUACCCCAACAGGGGUUCGGUAAAUGAUGAUAUCGACAAGGAACUGACUAAGGUAUCAUACAAAUCAUUCGAUGAGGCUAUCUGGUUGGUCAGGGAAGCAGGCAGAGGCGCCUUCAUGGCCAAGACGGAUAUUGAAUCAGCUUUUAGUUUGUUACUGGUUCAUCCAGACUCCUUACAUCUUCUGGGUUGUCAUUUUCAAGGGGGUUACUACAUUGAUCGAUGUCUGCCAAUGGGAUGUUCUAUCAUGCACAUUGUUUGAGGUGUUCAGCACAUCCCUGGAAUGGGUGUUUGGUGAUGCGCUGGCCUGAAUUCCAUGAUACAUUACCUUGAUGAUUUAUAGUGCCUGGGCUCCGCCAAUUCCACUGUGUGUGCUGUGUUGCUGCAAACCAUGCAGCAUGUGGUGAUAAAAUUUGCCAUCCCGCUAGCCCAAGAAAGAACGAAAGGCCCAACAACUUGUUUAAAAUUCCUUGGCAUCGAGAUAGAUACAGUUAAAGGGAUGUGUAGGCUCCCUAUAGAUAAGAUAAGGGGCUUACAGACAGAGAUACACUAUGCCGGGUCAUCCAAGAAGGUCACUCUAAGGAAGAUGCAGUCACUCCUGGCCAAGCUUUCCUUUUCACUUCAUGCCAAUGGGGAGAGUUUUCAGGGCAGUUGGCAAUGGCGACGUCAGGGGUAAGACUACCGCACCAUUUAAUUUGGCUAAACAAGAGCCACAUAGUAGACCUAGCGGUAUGGGAGCAGUUUCUGGAGAGUUACAAUUGCAACUCAUAUUUGUUAGGAGAGAGAGAAUCAAACACUGACCUUCACUUGUUCACAGAUGCAGAGGGUGCACUGGGUUUUGGAGCAUAUUUGGAUGGCAGCUGGUGUGCCAAACAGUGGCUGGAGGCUUGGGAGCAGUGCAGCCUUACGGGUUCAGGAAGUUGGCAUCAUGAGCAGGCAUAGAAUGGAGUCGUUGCCCAGCACAUCUCUGGAAAAUCGUGUGCGAGGUAUGCUAGAAUGGGUAAAAAACUCAGUAACACCAACCACCUGGGAUAGUUAUAAAGUGUGGCAGGAAUGGUUCAAGCUCGAAGCGCUGAGUGGGGGUGAGAGUAGUGAAACAGACAGACAGAACAUUUUACUGUGGCAGUUAGCAUUAUACUUCAAGGAGGCAACAUCAGUGAGUUUACUCUCAAGAAGAAUGGCGGCAUUGGCCUUCUUAUUUAAAUUGAUGGGUUGGAAGGACAUGACCAAGGAGUUUGUGGUCACACAGGCUCUCAGUAUGAAGUGGCAUUAUUCAGGCUGGCAUUUUAAUCCCUCAUUUUGAAUUUCGGAAUUGAUGAGUAAUAGCCAAGGGGGUCAGGGGGGCUAUAGUGGGAGCACAUGCACCUCCCUAAGGAGGGCCUCUACAUAGUGGUUAGAAAUUCCAAAACCGAUAAAAAGAGGGCGGGUUUGCAAUUUUUCCUGUACAGCAGUGCUGUCCAACUUCUGUGGUACCGAGGGCCGAAUUUAUCCAGCCUACAUAGUGGAGGGCCGAUAAUGGAAGUCAGUGUUGACCACUCCCUGUUUUUAAACCACACAAUUCAGUAUUAUAGAAUGAAUGGAGGACGCUGAGGUAACAGAACUCUGCUGCAAAUCUUCCUUCAUUAGGAGUGUAACAA